ACGCAGAUCUCUAGCGCCCACUAUUUCAAAAGCCAGGAAUAUUAUUUCACAAGACUUGGAACGACUCAAAAAAAAAAAAAAGUUGCUAUCCCCUUUCGUCAACUUUGCAGCUAACUUUCGCUUCUCUCCCCCCCCCCUUUAUUGGCCGUCUCCGCUCUCCUCCAGCUCCUCCGGGGUGAACCCCACCAAGGCGCUUGUGGGGUGCACGAGAGACCCCCAGCCCGCAAGAAACUGCCACCGCCGCUCUGCUGAGCCCAGUGCGCCUCCGCGCUGAGCCGCUCGCACACACACAAAAAAGGGGUGGACAGCAGGGCUCUCGCAUCUAUUCCGCUCCAGGACUGAGAACGGGCACGAAAAGGGGGCUCCCGCCCCGCCGCGGCACCCACCGCCCAGCCCUCCGGCGGCACAGAUCCGGCGGGACCCGGGAGGGGACCCUGGAAGCGGAAGAAGGGGAAGAAAGGACCUACUUUUGGGUAGUUUUCUCGCCCUCGCCUUGGAUCUCAUCUUGUCGGCUUGUGGAUUCUUCUCCUCCUCCUUGAGCCCAGAAGCAGCUACACACUAUCUUCAUCUCCCGAGCAUUGUCAGUUUGGACACCUUCGCACAUGCGCACAGAGCAUUCAAUCUGACACCCUCGCCAGGGCCAAAAAAACUUUCCAAUGUAUUCAUCACCAUCAGGGGUUUUUUUUCGGUCCUAUCCUCUUCUUCAGAUCACUUAUCUCGCCCCCCCCCCCCCAGCACCAUCACAGCCGUUCCCUGAUCUGCCCCUUUAAGAAAAAUCAACCCACUCUCAGCCUAACCCUUCGCACACUGACCUUACACACUGGACAAUAUUUAAGGAUCAAGGUACCAUCCUAUAAAGAGGUACCAAAGCAGAAUCAUUUUCUGGAUGCCAGAUAAUAAUAGCGAUCGCCUCCUUGGGAAUAUUAAAAAUACUGCUAGACAUUGGAGUUGUCCGUGAUCCCCGGAAGUGGAGGCACAGACAGAUCAGACAGACCCUCUUUGAAGAAAGGAGCGAAGUGUAAAUAGCUGGGUGAUGGAUGUGCUGUCUUUGACUGCGGAGAAAGCACUAUUUUAAUUCAAGUGGCCAGGUCAGAUGGUCACGGAAGAAGGUUGAAAGUGUGCUUUCUUGAUUCGGACAGAGGGGAGUACCUAUAACUGAACCAGAAUCCCCGCUGUUUUUCCCAGGGUCCCCUUUUACAAAAUUUGUUUUAGAUCAAACACAUCUUUUGAUUGUCUUGUUCUUUAAAAAAAUCCAAACAAAUCGAGGAGUGAGCUCCGUUUACACUGCGCUCCUGCUAGGUUCUAAUGAAUGUGGUUCGAUUCGAUGCGCCGGGAAGACAGCCGGCUAACAUCCUGGUGGUGUAUGCUAUUACACACCUUUUCCCCAGCCCCACACAUCCCUGGUUUAUACGCCCGCACAGCGCAAAGGGUGUUUUGCUAUAUUUCAGACUUGACCUCCCAGGGGGAAGAAAUGGGACCGAAGACCAAAUGCUGGUGCUCAGCAAAUCCCAAACACCCAAGAUGAAACCUCUAGCCAUCCUCAAGUACCGAUUCUGCGGCUCCUUGUCAAAAGCCCGACGUCGCUGGCCGGAGCAGAUUUGCGACCUACUAGCCGGAUCACAGCUGCCCAGAGUCAGUUUCUCUGAAGACACGUGGAAAAGAGGAGGACUCGCCGGCGUUGCGUUUAGUUUCCCGCACUGUUUGCCUGUGGAGAACAAGGGAGCGAAUCCCCCCCGAGAAGGCGAAGCACAGAACCUGAAGGGUGUGUGGGGAGAGGGGCGGGGGCGAAGGGGGAGUUCGCUCCAGUGUUCCUAAUUAAUUCGGAUUAACAACGAUUCCCAGUAAAAAAAACGUUGGCUUCAAAGUCGGAGAGCCAGGAGGACGUAAUGAGGAGCCCGCGCCAUGGAUCGUGUGUAAAUUGUCCCCUUCCUUUCUUCGCAGUAUAAAUAAAGCGGGGCCAGUGGAUGAAGACAGAAGGCGGCAACCUUCUUUCGCCCUAUAUUGAUACUCGGCUACCGCAAUUAACAUUGCUGCAUAUGGAGUGAGUCUCCCCCCCCCCCCAUGUGUACAUGCCUGGUUCCCCCCCCCCCCAUGCUAAUAAUGGCUGCAGCGGAGUUAGCUGUAUAAUUAUUAGCCAUUAAUUGAGUUCAGGACCUUUUAUGGCGGUGGGAAAUGAGCAGCCUGACCAUUCAUUCCAGUGCGGGUCUGCACACUGCCAGGAGCUAUGAAAAGUCAUCCCUGGCUGGCUGGGCCCCGCCUGACAACCCCCCAGAGGGGGAGAAAGACCUUGGCGGGGGCGGGGGCGGGGGGGAUCAGGAGGUGAAAAUGACAGGCCCUGGAACCGGAGCGGACGGAUCCUUUCGGAACUUUGGGGUGCGCAGGGACCGGGCGAGGCAGCUGACUGGAACAGCUUGUCUGGAGGCAAGAAAAGCAACACAAGAAAGUUAAAUGAAAUGAAGCGCACAUUAAGCGAAAGGCUAUGCAGGCGCACAGACUCGCCCUGAGCUGGGGGGCGGGGGGGGGGUUGUUUUCCAGUUAGUGGGCUGAGGAAUGUAGCUCCGACUAGGAGAGAGGCUGAGCCCAUAUUUCUGGGGACACCCCCCCCCUCCGUUCAUUUGAGGAUACUGAUAACCCCAGGGCUGGCUCAAGCACCGGGGAAAGUGAAAGGCAAAGGGAUAAUGUUCGGGUUGGAAUCUCACUUUGCAAAAAUUGCAUCUACGAUUACCCCGACCCCCGCGCUCCGGGAAACCUGUUCCACAUUUAAACUAACUUGCAAGUUUCAGAUUUGCGCCAGGAUCUGCAAAAAAUAAAAUACCCCCCCACCCAACACAUACACACAAAACCCCACAGAAGUCACUCAAAAUGGGUCCAUGCGCCCCUUGCAAGAAUCAAUCCGAAUUAUAUUGUUACAGAAACUGCGGCUGCCUUCGCUGCGGGAAGAGCAGUUGCCUUCUGGAGCGGGAACGGAGCCUGGCUCCCAGCGCGCGGCUGCAUUAGCCUGUAGGGCACCGAGCAGCCCCCAGAACAGUGGCAUUAUUCGGGGAGACCCUCCGAGGGGAAGCCAGACACGGAUGAAAGUCCGUUUGAGCUCCGGGGGGCAGCAGGGCGGGCUAAUGGAAGCCGAGCCGCAGCGAGCUCCAUGUCGCAGUCUAGCACCAGGUGUAGCAAAGAACAGCCCCCCAAAGCAGCAACCCCCCGCCCGCCCAGGAAAGCAGCUGGCGGGGUGAUUCCAGCUCAGGAGGUUCAGAUGCGGGAGGUUCUGCCUUUUGGUUUCCUACCUAAAGAAACCGACACUGACCCUGAAAAGGUGACAGAGAUGCUGCUGUCCCCCCGGGUCUGUCUACAGCCCUGGAAUGUGCAGGCAGGAGUGGCCCGUCUCACCCAGGGAGGGUAAGGGCAGCUCGUGUAACUCCCGUGUCACUGGACUCCCUAGAGACGCUACAGGGCUGAGCAUUUACAGGUGGACGGGUCCGGUCUCUAACGCGCAGGGGGGUCCGCACUUUAUCCCCGGAAACAGGGGAUGAAGACAAGAUCCGCAUUGCCCCAAACGUUCAGGUUUGCGUGGUUGAAUGGGGAGACCGAGAACACACACCCAGCACGAAUCCAUAUUGCAGAACGUGGGAGCGACUCCCCUAGAUUCACUUUGUUACGUAGCCUUAACUUCACGUUGCCACCUUCCAAUUAAAGUUGACCAAAAUUCCCCCACAGCCUUAUUUGCAUGCAAGGGACUCAGUUCAAAGAUGCUAACGUAUUGUCUCCUCUUAGAACUUAACAUUUCCCGCUUCAGUUCUCACUUGAAAGAAGUUUCAGAACAGUAUUCACAGACUGUCCAAACGAACAAAACCUUCCCCUUUGCUAGGAAGAGAAAUCCGGUGUAUUCAAUCAAGGGGAGGGGGGGCAUAUUCUCAGAAGUCUGCAGAUUUUUUAAAAGGCUGCAUUGUUCUUGCCUUUUCCUGAAAACUGAUUUUUAAAGCACAAACUCGCACGCCUGCAAAAAAGGAUAAAAAUAAACCCUCACCGAUUUCUUUUUGCACAGUUUAGACUCUUAGAAUUACUUUUCUGCAAGAGCUUUCCAAGCACAGCCUUUCCGGAGACAUAAUGAUCAACUUUAAAAUAAAUCAAGCAAACAAGGUGGGGGAAAAAAGACCCAGGACUUUCCCAAAUGCUCCUUUCUUUGAUUUUCAUUAUUUCAAC